CGGGGACCCCGCCCCGCGCUUCCGGGAGGGGGAGGAGGCUCGCGGCCGCCCGGCGCCCUAGGCCGCAGCCGCCCUCGCCGCCGGCCGGGCCGGGUGGAGGUCUGCGCGGCUCCCGCGGGCUGUGCCCCCAGUUCCCCGCGGGCCGGGCCAGUCACCUCUUCUCCGACUCCAGAGGAAAGAAACAAGAAGGAAUGAGUCACUGCUGCCUCCAGAAAGUAGUAGUUUGUUUACAACGACCAACAGCAGCAGCCCCCUGAAGGGACCGGCUGCAGCCGGGGUUGCUAGGACCCCGACGUCUACAUUCGUGCCGGUGAAUGACGUUGCACCAAGGCUGGACCUCCAAAAAUGAGCCCCAGAGAGUUCCCAGACCGUUGGAAGAGGUUAAAAAGCCCUCCACCGAACUGAGGAGUGUUUCUUCUCAGAGGUGUCAACUGGAUUCAGAGUUCCCUGCGGCGCUCUGGAUCAGACAAGAAGUGAGGUGCUUAAAAACUUACUCCCCGCUUUCCUUUGGGAAAUUUUGCAUGUUUUUUAUCCUCAGCAUCUUCCAGGAUACUUUCAGAUACCUCACGGUGGUCCCUAGUGUGCGACCUUCACUGAGCCCUGAAACCCUGCCACCCGCAAGUACUGUGAAGAGAAUAGAGCGAAUACAAACUUAAAAAAAAAGCAUGAACCUUGAUGCUUAGGGGGCUCACCGGCUUGUGUAAAUUGUGUUUACAAAAAAAAAAGCGUACAUAAAGAGAUAGACGGCAGAGCAGACAGCAGUGUGAAUAUUAAAAAUGCUCAGCAUCUUUAACCCAGGCAUUUUCCUAAGGAAACAACGGAGAAGUGCGGAAGAAUGGAUAUAAAAAGAUGCAGUGCGGUGAUAUUUAUGAUGGUGGUAAAAUUGGGAACUGAUUAAAAGUCUGAGAC
ensembl:lncRNA